ACACCGUAGUUACAAAUCUGUGGCAAAAACCGAAUCGUGAGUGAACUUUUCUUGGUCAGAUUCUAAUCCAAGUUACUUAAGAGUAACCUAGAAGUCAAUUAAUUCCAUCCUUUCCAUGUGAUUUGUAGCACUGCAUAACAGAAGUUAGAUUUGUGAGGGGUUUUUUAUAUCUUCAGAGCAAAUAAUUCAGUGUUCCAGUGAAAUUCAGAUUUCUUGUGCGCAUUUUGAAAUUCGAAUUCCAUGGUUUUAUCUCUAAAUCAAGAUCAGAAUUCUAAUACAAUUUUAAAAUGUUUAAAUAAUUUCUGAAGCACACUAUUAUGUUAAACUGGUUAUAAAGCACAGCAUUGUGUCUCAUUUUAUAUGAGGGUGUUGACUUCUAGAACACUACUCUAGAUUCCUCUACUUCCACACAAAUAUUUUGAACAUAGAAUUUCUUUGGACUUCAUUUCUAUCAGCAUUUUUGGUUGUAGGAGGGGACAACCACGAAGAAUGUUAAGCAUACUUUGCUUUUGGAAGGCUCUGGAGUGAUUUCAGAUAAAUCAUAAAUACUGUGAGCUCCUUAGGGCAGCAGCUUCAACUUGUCUGCCUGUGAGUUGUCUUGCACGAGGAGAGCUGUCUGUGUGUGGUGGGUAUUAAAAGUCAGAGCAGAUCUGUAGCUACAAGGGAGAAGUUGUAUUGCAGUAAGAAUGGAAGAAUGUUUAUUUUGCCAAAUUACAAUGGCCUGGAAAAGGCACUUUCAGUCCUGUUUCUGGCAGCAGGCCAAAUAGUUACCAAUGGUACAAACACAAGGAGGCAAACGUGCUGAAGAUGGAGAAAUCUCAGUUAAGCUUCAGUUUUAAUGGAAUUUUGAGCAAACCGCCCCUGAGAAAAGAGAAAUCUUCAUUGCCUUUUAUUUUUAGCAAAGAAAGUUAUCUGGUAAGGUGGAAAGCUUGAAACUCCCUCUUUUUUUUUUGCACAAUGGCUUAAUUCUGAGACUGAAUUAGACAGAUCUGAAACAUGAGCCUGUAAAAUUAACUGAGGUUCCCUUGAUACCAGACCAAGGGAUUCAGGACUUUUCUAAGCAUUUCCAAAAGACCUUUGGCAGCCUGUAGCUUUGGGAAUGUUAUCCCUCUGUCAGGCACUUUAUCAAGCCACAAGGUAAUAUAUUUUAACUCUAAACUUGGUCUCUAGUGAAUGGGUUGCAUUUAUUCAUAAUGGAGUAACUCGGUUCAUUAAUUUCCUGUGGCAGCCACCAUUUUACUGGGAAUAGGAGUUUAUAUGGGAACCAUGGGAAUGGAAAGCAUGGAUCUCUGCAGCCUGGAAGGGAGAAGCUGAGUCCUCUGAAACAGGCACAGAGAUGUGGGAGAGGAUUUUCUGGUUUAGAGAUGCUGCUGCUCAGAGUGGCCAUUUAACUCCAAGGCAAGAGGUCUCAGUAUAUCGAUGCCGUGGGUCCGAGGUGUUCUUGUGUGGGAAUAACUUCUCCACGUGUACAGUCUGCUUGACCUGAAUGUGGCUGUUUGUGUGUAACUCACACACUGAGAUCAUUUUAAGCUCUGUGUCUGUGUCUUUUUCAUGGUCUCACUUUCUCCUCAGCUCUGUGAAAAGGAGGACAACCACUGUAAACGCCUCGCUCUCUAAAUUUCACUUAUGGCUGAGGUGGGAGUUUGGAUGGUCUAUUUAUUCAAAGAUAGGUCCUUUAUGACCUUUCUUUACUAAAAUGUUCUUUGUAUACUUUAUAAACUUCGUUCUAACCGCUAAAGUUCCUUUAAGGAGAUACCAAAUGCAUUCCCAGUAGAGUAAAAUAACUGCACAGGUCAUAAUUUUUAGCCAGUCCUAAAAAUAUGCACAUCCUUAGUCCAAGGGAGCUGCUUUCCUUUCAGGAAAAUGAAAUUGAAGUUGUAAUUCCUUUCUUCCUCCAAAUUAGAAGUUAUUUCAGAUUUAGAUUAAUUUUUUUAAUACAGCAUGCAAGAAUAAAGCUGUACAGCACUUCUGAAUGUUAAUAGGGAUCAUAACUAUAUUUCUGUACAUUAUGCUAAAAAUUCUCCCUUAGUUUUUGCUUGUGUGCACAUAUAUAUUUUAUUUAGGGGGACAUACCACAAAAUUAAGGGCUGAAUAAAGAUAAAUAUCAUAUAGCAAUACCAGAAAUAAUAAGUUCUGUCAUUUUGCUAAUCCUCCUCUCCCAGGGAUAACAAAGAAUGAAUUUACAUUAGUAAACACUAACAGGAAUUCAUUACUGCCCUCACAAGAGGCUUGGAGAAAAUGAAAUAACGCAGUGUACUGAAGAGGAAAGGAAAUUAAUAUUCUCAUCACUAAGUGCGAAACACAGCUCUGACAAUAGAGCCGCUUCCUCUUUGUUAAAAACUUGCAAGGAGCUUCAGAGUUGAAAGGCUGAGUAAAUCUUUAUAUCUGAGGAGGUAAA